rnacentral:rRNA from 1 species
AGUGGCGAAGGCGACUUCCUGGACUAAAACUGACGCUGAGGAACGAAAGCGUGGGUAGCAAACGGGAUUAGAUACCCCGGUAGUCCACGCCGUAAACGAUGUCAACUAGCCGUUGGGUCUAUUUAUAGACUUAGUGGCGGAGCUAACGUAUUAAGUUGACCGCCUGGGGAGUACGGCCGCAAGGUUAAAACUCAAAUGAAUUGACGGGGGCCCGCACAAGCGGUGGAGCAUGUGGUUUAAUUCGAUGCAACGCGAAGAACCUUACCUACCCUUGACAUGUAGUGAACUUACCAGAGAUGGUUUGGUGCCUUCGGGAACACUAACACAGGUGCUGCAUGGCUGUCGUCAGCUCGUGUCGUGAGAUGUUGGGUUAAGUCCCGUAACGAGCGCAACCCUUAUCCUUAGUUGCUAGCAGGUAAUGCUGAGAACUCUAGGGAGACUGCCAGUGAUAAACUGGAGGAAGGUGGGGACGACGUCAAGUCAUCAUGGCCCUUAUGGGUAGGGCUACACACGUGCUACAAUGGUCGGUACAGAGGGCCGCAAACUCGCGAGAGUAAGCUAAUCCCAGAAAGCCGAUCUUAGUCCGGAUUGCAGUCUGCAACUCGACUGCAUGAAGUUGGAAUCGCUAGUAAUCGCGGAUCAGAAUGCCGCGGUGAAUACGUUCCCGGGCCUUGUACACACCGCCCGUCACACCAUGGGAGUGGGUUGCAAAAGAAGUGGGUAGUCUAACCUUCGGGAGGGCGCUCACCACUUUGUGAUUCAUGACUGGGGUGAAGUCGUAACAAGGUA